CUGUUAUAAAAAAAACAACCUUUUGCUCACCAGACGUUUGUGUCACACGACUGAAUCAAAGAGCAUGAUGAUGGGGCUGAGGGUCACUCAGUACUACAUCUUUGUUAUAAUGUUAACCAAAGGUGUCAGCAGUGAUGAGAUCAGACUGGACCAGACUCCUGCUGUGGUAAAAAGACCUGGAGAAACUGUGAAGAUCUCCUGUAAGAUAAAUGGCUUUGAUAUGACUGAGUACUACAUACACUGGAUCAGACAGAAACCAGGGAAAGCUCUGGAAUGGAUUGGCAGGAUGGAUACAGGCAGUAAUGAUGCAACAUAUGCAGAGUCUGUGAAGAACCAGCUCACUUUAACAGAAGACGUCUCAGCAAGCACACAGUACUUAGAGGCCAAGAGUCUGAGGACAGAGGACACUGCGGUUUAUUACUGCGCCCGAGACCCCACAGUGACUGGAGCUGAGGAAGCAGCUGUACUAAAACCAGACACACAUUGUAACUGAACUAACUGAAGUUGCUUAACUUAUAAUUCUAACACAGAUGAACACAGUUUGUAUCUAUUUACUGUUCCAAUUAUCUAUAAAUGUACCUGGAUAUAACCCUAAACUGGGUGUGGUCUAAACUAUUAAUAAAAAUAUAGAUUAACUCUGUUUCUAUGCUCCUGGAAACACUGGAAAACGCCAUACUGUAGGUA